rnacentral:rRNA from 1 species
AUUGAACGCUAGCGGGAUGCCUUACACAUGCAAGUCGAACGGAGUGGCGAACGGGUGAGUAAUGUAUCGGAACGUGCCCAGUAGCGGGGGAUAACUACGCGAAAGCGUAGCUAAUACCGCAUACUAUUGGAGCGGCCGAUAUCGGAUUAGCUAGUUGGUGGGGUAACGGCUCACCAGGGCGCCGACCCGGGGCGGGUUUGAGAGGACGACAAGCCAAAUGGGGACUGGGACACGGCCCAGACGCCUACGGGAGGCAGCAGUGGGGAAUUUUGGACAAUGGGGGAAACCCUGAGCCAGCCAUCCCGCGUGUGCGAUGAAGGCCUUCGGGUUGUAAAGCACUUUUGGCAGGAAAGCGGUACCUGCAGAAUAAGCACCGGCUAACUACGUGCCAGCAGCCGCGUAAUUC